rnacentral:lncRNA from 1 species
AAAAGUUCUCUCUCCAAUCACAAUUACCGAUCCUUAAUUUCUAUCCAUACGCGUGCAUUAUGCCAAAAAGAGUGACAGUAGCUUCCAAAACAACACCUUAACUUUGAGCGCUUGUAUCUCCUUCAUAUAAACUUCAACCAUACAAAACUUGUACCAAAACCAUAGCCAAUAUCCUUAAACUUCUGAAUCUAGCCUUUAAAACUUGAAUGG